GAUGAACGCUAGCGACAGGCCUAACACAUGCAAGUCGAGGGGCAGCACGGUGUAGCAAUACACGGGUGGCGACCGGCGCACGGGUGAGUAACGCGUAUGCAACCUGCCUACUACAAGGGGAUAACCCGUUGAAAGACGGACUAAUACCCUAUAACACAGGGAAUCCGCAUGGAUAUAUUUGUUAAAGAUUUAUCGGUAGUAGAUGGGCAUGCGUUCCAUUAGCUUGUUGGUGAGGUAACGGCUCACCAAGGCAACGAUGGAUAGGGGAACUGAGAGGUUGAUCCCCCACACUGGAACUGAGACACGGUCCAGACUCCUACGGGAGGCAGCAGUGAGGAAUAUUGGUCAAUGGACGAGAGUCUGAACCAGCCAAGUCGCGUGAAGGAAGACGGCCCUACGGGUUGUAAACUUCUUUUGUAAGGGAAUAAAUAGUCUUACGUGCUAAGACGUUGCAGGUACCUUACGAAUAAGGAUCGGCUAACUCCGUGCCAGCAGCCGCGGUAAAAGUC
rnacentral:rRNA from 1 species